CAGCCUUCCUGUGGCCACCUGACUGCUGUGUGUCCUCUGCCCCAGUGUCCUGUAAGCCACUGGCCCUCACCUCCAGGGCCAGUCCCUGCUGGGUUCUCACAAGAACUUGAAGAGGAAAGGGAGGCCCAGAGAGAGUAAGAGACUCAGCGCGGUCGCCCAGCGAGGAGGCGACUGAACAAACCCAGGCCCACAUGGUCACGGGGCCACUGGGCCCCUCACCCCACCACACACGGAACCAGGAGCUGCUGCCCCGCCAGAGCCCCUGGACGGCGGGGGGGGGGGGGGGGAGCGGCCNCCCCCGCCCCGCGCUGCACACACUGCAUUGGAAUGAACUGCGGUGACCCUGCCCCACAGAGAUCCGGCUCCAGUUUCCCCGCUGGCAGUCAGUUAUUCCAUCCAGAUGCCUGUGAAGUGUGCUGGACGCGCUGGGCUCCUGCCUCAUGAAUCAGGGAGUGGGGCCUCGGGAGGGAUGCACCCCCCCUUCCUGGGAACGACCUGGGACUUGUUCCAGGUGCUUUUCCCACCCCCGCAGGGGAGGGGCGACGGGCUGUGGUGGGGGCUGUGGGGAGGCUGGGACCCCUCCCUGGCCUUCCCCCCUCACCCCAGGGGCCCAGGAUCAGGAGGACCCAGGAGGGACCCUGUGCCAACCUAGGGACCACGAGGCCCUGGCCAGCAGAGGGCUCCCCCAUGGGCCAAGUGCUCAGCAGUGGCCAGAGGCAGGGCAGCCCUGGGGGUAUGAAGGGCCUGGUCACCUUGGGCCCCCUGACCCUCAGGAGCUGAGGGUCCCCAUGCAGGGCCCGUGGGCGUGAUGUGAUGUGAGCUGUCACUCUCCACUCCCUCUCCCACACCUCCAUCCAGGACCUUGGGCUGUCACUCUCCACUCCCUCUCCCCACCCCUCCAUCCUGGCCCUUGGGCUGUCACUCUCCACUCCCUCUCCCACCCCUCCAUCCUGGACCUUGGGCUGUCACUCUCCACGCCCUCUCCCACACCUCCAUCCUGGACCUUGGGCUGUCACUCUCCUCUCCCUCUCCCACACCUCCAUCCUGGACCUUGGGCUGUCACUCCCCCAUCCCUCCCCCACACCUCCAUCCUGGACCUUGGGCUGUCACUCCCCCAUCCCUCCCCCACACCUCCAUCCUGGACCUUGGGCUGUCCCUCUCCACUCCCUCUCCCACACCUCCAUCCAGGACCUUGGGCUGUCACUCUCCACUCCCUCCCCCCCACCUCCAUCCUGGACCUUGGGCUGUCACUCUCCUCUCCCUCUCCCACACCUCCAUCCUGGACCUUGGGCUGUCACUCCCCCAUCCCUCCCCCACACCUCCAUCCUGGACCUUGGGCUGUCACUCUCCACUCCCUCCCCCACACCUCCAUCCUGGACCUUGGGAUGCUUCCCGAGGCACCCCACCCACGGCCCUGCCCCGUCACCUCCUCUUGGCUGCCCCUCGGGCUCCUCUCCACAGGGCAGCCACAGGGACACCAUGGGAGAGCUGUCCAGACCUCCCUGCCAGCUGCUUCCCCGGGCUCCCGAGUCAGCGUCUGAGCCACACCCCCAGGCUGCACAGCCCCCACCCCACUGCAGGGCCAGGCCAACAGGGACGGGCUGAGGCCACGCACUCUGGUUAUCUCGGCGCCACCCCGGGCCACCGUGUGACACACUCACCAGCUGGAGGGCACAACACUGACUGCCCGCUGAGGCCUCGUUCCCACGCUCCUUCUGCCCAGCUCACCCUGCCAGGCAGACGCGCACCCUCUGCACACAGCCCUGUGGCAGCAGAGCAUUCCUAGUCCCUCAGUGAGGCCACCUGAGGGCUCCCAGAUCUGGGGGGACUGGACGUGCCCCUGAGGGCUCCCCGUGCAGAGGCCUCGGUGAGCGGGGUCCCUGGCCUCCUGCUCACCCUUCAGGACACCGCAGGCUCCACCCGGCUGUUCUCAGAUGAGCCCAGAGCCCAGAGCCACCACAGGCUGGGAGGACUUGGCCUGGCUUCAAAUAUAACUCUGGAAUUUUAAGAGCAAUGUGCUAUUUAGGUUAACGUGGGCCACAGCCCAUUUCCCUCCCCAAACCAAGGUCCAGGAGGCCCACUCAUCCCAGCUAAGGGUGUGUCUGUAAGAGCGACCACAAGCCAGAGUUGUGACACAGGCUAGUGUCACAAAGGCUAGUGCCCUGGGGGCCUGGGGGAGGGGCUGGGAGGACCUGGGGCGACCCUAGGGGUGAGGUCUGGACCCAUCCCCAGGAGCAGAGCCCUGGGCACAGCGAGGAGUCAAGACAAGCAGGCAGGGCCCUGGGACCAGGCGAGAGGCUCCAUCCUGAGCCUUGGCCGGCCCCUCACCUGGGGGAACCCCGCCCCCGAGCCUGCUCCUGGUGCAUCAGUGGUGGCCUUGCCUGGUGGAGCCGGCCCACCGUGAGGUACCCAAGCUCCUCAGGGAGCAGCUGUGAGU
rnacentral:lncRNA from 1 species